rnacentral:pre_miRNA from 1 species
UUAACUCAAAUUUGUAUGGAGUGGGAUCGUUUGCCUACGUUUGCCGUUAGGGACGCUGUUCCAACUGCAUACAAAAUUGGAUUA